AUAAUAAACUAUUAAAUAUAUUAACUCAGUGUAAUAUCGUUUUGCUUUAGAAAUAACACAAGCAAAUGAUAUUCUUUAGUAUUUUUGCAGCUCCUUAAAAUGAAGCUCGUGGUUCUCUUUCUUCUGGUAUGUCUUGCAAGUCUCGUGGCUGUAUCCGAAAGUUGUUGUAUAAACAAAAAUCCAUGCACUAAGCACGAUGAUUGUUGCGACAGUUAUUCUUGCACACCAUAUGGUAAAUCCGGGGUAAAGAAAUGCAAACAUAUAAGAAUAAAAUUCUAAUGAGAGCGGAGCUGAAAUAUUGAAGUGUUGUUUGUGCAUUUUUGUUUUUAUUCAUUUCAAAAUAAAGUUU